UAAUUGAUAUAUGGAUUUUGUGUUAAUCAUGGCAACAGUUGUUCUUCUUUUCUUUCUACUCUUUCUGCUGUCAGUUCGAAUUUUCGAAUUUAAAUAUUAUUUGUACAACAGCUUUCAUGAAAAUUUCGGUGAACUAAUGGAACGACUUCUAAAUUCAUUAUGCAGAACUACUCCAAGAAUACUGCAGCUGCAAAGAAGUCAGUUUCAGCAAAGUGUCAAUAUGCUGCUCUUUAGGUAUUAUCGGAUUAACGACGACAGGGCCGCUUUAAAGCAGAUACAAAAACAACUUGGUUUUUUGAAGAGCAAAGCAAUUGAUGAGCGGCAUCAACUUGAUGCCAAAAUUGCUGAAUUACAAAAGCGGAUCGAGCGCGUGAAGCGUAAGAUGCGAAAAGUUGAUAAGGAGUCCAAAAAGAGUAAAAAGUAAACUCGAAAUUAUUAAGGAAAGUUGAGAAAAAGAAAAUCCGUUUCUCUUUAAGAUUGCAGCUACAAAAAUAUUUAAAAAACAUUAAAAAUGUGCAUCAUAGAUUGUAUAUUUUUCCCAAUAAUUUCUCUCAUUUGGAAAGUUCAAUAAAUACAAUAUUGCAUUUAAUUUUUGAGUUUUUCCGUUGGACAUUUUAGUAACAUGAAUAAUUUUCAACUGCACCCGAAAGUAUGCUACAAAAUAUUAAUUUUAACGCACAGAAACUGCCCGAGUUGGAAUUUAUACCUGUGACGUUUAUUUUAGUUAAUUCAAAUUUGUUUCAACAUAUUAGCUUUUCGAAAAUCUUCAAUUUUUCGAUACUUUAUUUCGUUUUUUUUUUUGUCUUAAAUUAACCAAUUUUCUUAUCAUCCCGCGUUCUGGGAACCUCAAAAUUCACAGUAAAUUGAAGCCAUGAUUCACAUCGCCAUGCAAAUUUCCUCAUUGUGUGUCAAAAUUUUGCAACCACAUCAAAAUUUUGUUCAACACAUUGUCAGGUACUCAAAUAAAAUCCGUGAAGCGGGAAAAGCCAAGGAAAAUGUUCACUUUUUAAAACAGCAGCGAGCGCAACUGAAGGAGUUACAAAAAAAGAUAGCUCUCAAAAAAGAUGAAAUUAAAAAGAAAAUAAAUAAGCUGGAUUCACAAAUUGAAGAAAUUAAAAAGAAGAAUAGACGGGAGAAGAAAAAAGAAGAAGAUCAAAAUUAAUAUAUUAAAUAUGAGUUUAUCAAUUCUUUAAAAAUAAAACCCAAAGUAUGGGUCUUUAAAUAUUGUUUUAAAAUAAUGAUAUAUAGUAUUAAAUUACAUUCGAGUAUAUACAUAACUGCAAUAAUUAAGUUGAAGGAUAUCUUCGACAAAGCGAAAAUAAACAUUUUACGGAAACCUACAUUCAAAUUGAUAAACUACACAAACUUCUAUUCUAGAAGUCUAUGCAUAUAUUCUCAAACCAGAUAUCAUUUUAAAAUUAUAGUACUUUUCUGUCGAUUUGGAAAUACGCUUUUAAUUUAUCUCAAAAUCGUCUUCGUUUUCGUCUCUUCAAUAUGAUAAGUUCAUUUGGCGUCCCACACCGAAGUGUUUUUACCCUAUUGAAAAGGCCAGGAAUCUGGAGUACACAACACUUUAAAUAUUAUGCCAAGGAAAUUUAUGAGCGAGGCAAAGCUAGAGAGAAUACGUACUUUCUUAAAAUUCAAUAUGAUCAGUUAAUUAGACUAAAAAACAAAUUUCUUAAAAGACGCGACCAACUGGAUAAAGCAAUUGAGGAAUUGACAAAGGCUGAAAAAGAACAUUGAAAUACAAAGCUGCGACAAAUUCUACUAAAGAAUCAAACGAUAUUUAUUUAUAUUUCUUCUCAGUAAUCCAUGAAAAUAAUUUCUUACUUAACUUAUUGAAUUCGAAUUUGGAACUUAGCUCAAAAGAUAUUUCUUAUACAAUUCUAAAUUUGAAUACUGCUGGAAGAUGGAAAGUUUGUUUGGAUUUCGGUUUAAAAGUACUGACAACUUUUUGAAGCCACAGCGUUUAUUCUAUGGUCGCGAAUACUCUAAGAAAAUAUAUGAAAAAAGAAUUGAAAACGAUAAUGUCUAUUUUCUGAAAUUGAAAUAUGAUCAAUUGGUUGUCUUGGUAAAGGCAAAAUUCAGGGAGCAAAAGAAACUCAAAAGGAAAAUCAAUAAAUUGAUCAGCCAAAUUCAAACUGUUAAGGAUAAAAUUGAUGAGCAGGAAAAUAAUUCUAGUGAAAUCGAUUUCUAAACCGUGCCGUUUUCGUUUCCUUGUCAAUCCCAGUAGGCGCCUAAAAAAGAAAAGAAAAAAACAUUUGCUUUCUGCUUAACUUUCAGAUGUAACCAUUAUUCGAAAUUAUAAACAAGUUUACGAAUAUCUAAGAUUUUAUUUUGUAUUUGAUUUGAUUUUUUUUUGUCUGUCCAAAUUCUAAUGAUGCAGCCAGCUUUGCGAUUGGUCAAGACUUUAUUUUUUCGAAAAACAUCAGAAUGUGCAGCAUGCGCUCAUAUUGUAAGGAAAUUCAAUGAUGAUGGACACGAUAGAGCCAGAGCCUUGGAAAAUUCGCACUUUUGGAAAAUUCAAAUUGAACAACUCAGACAACUGCGUUCGAGGAUGGUUCAGAAAACAAGAUCUGAGACAAUGAAAGAUGAGCAAAAUCUGAAUAGUCAAGAUCAGCGAAAGCAAGUAACAAAGUAAACAAUUGAAUUCGUUUAUGGUUGAUGAAGUAAAUGUGGACAAAAUGUACUGUAUCAGGCUCAGAUGUGUGGCAGCUCAUCCCAGACACUGGGGAAAUCGGUUUCCACAACAGCUGCGCCUGCUAGCAGACGAGGAAAGUAACAAGAAUCGCGAUAAGAAGUAUGGAAAACUUUGGAAUAAACAAAUUGGGGAAUUGGUUCGAAAGCGAAACAUGCUGGCGUUGAUUGGCGAGUAUGUUGAGCUGCAGGAGAAGUAUGUGGACUCCAGGCUACGCAGCAAUAAAAUGUUGAUCGAAUUAGCCAAAGCAGUGUGGAGUUACGAAACCUUAUCCCAUGGAAAGAGCCAAUGAUAUAGAUAAAAAAGAAAAAAACACUUUCGAAAUCGAAUCGAUAUAUAUUAUUGUUGAUUUUUUAUUCAAAAUAAUUUGCAUUUCUCAUUUACAAUCUGAAGCCAAUAAACAAAUUAAAAUGCUGCUUCCAAA